AUUGAACGCUGGCGGCAGGCCUAACACAUGCAAGUCGAACGGUAACAGAAAGCAGCUUGCUGCUUUGCUGACGAGUGGCGGACGGGUGAGUAAUGUCUGGGAAACUGCCUGAUGGAGGGGGAUAACUACUGGAAACGGUAGCUAAUACCGCAUAACGUCGCAAGACCAAAGAGGGGGACCUUCGGGCCUCUUGCCAUCGGAUGUGCCCAGAUGGGAUUAGCUAGUAGGUGGGGUAACGGCUCACCUAGGCGACGAUCCCUAGCUGGUCUGGGAGGAUGACCAGCCACACUGGAACUGAGACACGGUCCAGACUCCUACGGGAGGCAGCAGUGGGGAAUAUUGCACAAUGGGCGCAAGCCCGAUGCAGCCAUGCCGCGUGUAUGAAGAAGGCCUUCGGGUUGUAAAGUACUUUCAGCGAGGAGGAAGGUGUUGUGGUUAAUAACCACAGCAAUUGACGUUACUCGCAGAAGAAGCACCGGCUAACUCCGUGCCAGCCGCCGCAGUAA
rnacentral:rRNA from 1 species